CCUACGGGAGACAGCAGUGGGGAAUAUUGCACAAUGGGGGAAACCCUGAUGCAGCGACGCCGCGUGAGUGAAGAAGUACUUCGUUACGUAAAGCUCUAUCAGCAGGGAAGAAAAUGACGGUACCUGAGUAAGAAGCCACGGCUAACUACGUGCCAGCAGCCGCGGUAAUACGUAGGGUGCAAGCGUUAUCCGGAUUUACUGGGUGUAAAGGGAGCGUAGAGGGUGCGUCAAGUCUGGAGUGAAAGGGUGCAGCUUAACUGCUGAAUUGCAUUGGAAACUGGCGAACUAGAGUGCGGGAGGGGUAAGCGGAAUUCCUAGUGUAGCGGUGAAAUGCGUAGAUAUUAGGAGGAACACCGGUGGCGAAGGCGGCUUACUGGACCGUAACUGACGUUGAGGCUCGAAAGUGUGGGGAGCAAACAGGAUUAGAUACCCGGGUAGUC
rnacentral:rRNA from 1 species